rnacentral:rRNA from 1 species
CGCGUAGGCGGUUUGAUAAGUCAGAUGUGAAAGCCCAUGGCUUAACUGUGGAAGUGCAUUUGAAACUGUCAGACUUGAGUACCAGAGGGGAAAGUGGAAUUCCCGGUGUAGAGGUGAAAUUCGUAGAUAUCGGGAGGAAUACCGGUGGCGAAGGCGACUUCUGGCUGGAUACUGACGCUGAGGCGCGAAAGCGUGGGGAGCAAACA